CGAAAGCCUGACGGAGCAAGACCGCGUGAGGGAGGAAGGCCCUUGGGUUGUAAACCUCUUUUCUCAGGGAAGAAAACUGACGGUACCUGAGGAAUCAGCCUCGGCUAACUCCGUGCCAGCAGCCGCGGUAAUACGGAGGAGGCAAGCGUUAUCCGGAAUUAUUGGGCGUAAAGCGUCCGCAGGUGGCGAUUCAAGUCUGCUGUCAAAGCACGGGGCUUAACUCCGUUAAGGCAGUGGAAACUGAAUGGCUAGAGUGCCGUAGGGGUAGAGGGAAUUCCCGGUGUAGCGGUGAAAUGCGUAGAGAUCGGGAAGAACAUCGGUGGCGAAAGCGCUCUACUGGACGGCAACUGACACUCAGGGACGAAAGCUAAGGCAGUG
rnacentral:rRNA from 1 species